GAUGGGGUUAGCUAACGCGAAGCUCUUGAUCGAAGCCCCGGUAAACGGCGGCCGUAACUAUAACGGUCCUAAGGUAGCGAAAUUCCUUGUCGGGUAAGUUCCGACCUGCACGAAUGGCGUAACGAUGGCGGCGCUGUCUCCACCCGAGACUCAGUGAAAUUGAAAUCGCUGUGAAGAUGCAGUGUAUCCGCGGCUAGACGGAAAGACCCCGUGAACCUUUACUAUAGCUUUGCACUGGACUUUGAAUUUGCUUGUGUAGGAUAGGUGGGAGGCUUUGAAGCGUGGACGCCAGUUCGCGUGGAGCCAUCCUUGAAAUACCACCCUGGCAACUUUGAGGUUCUAACUCAGGUCCGUUAUCCGGAUCGAGGACAGUGUAUGGUGGGUAGUUUGACUGGGGCGGUCUCCUCCUAAAGAGUAACGGAGGAGUACGAAGGUGCGCUCAGACCGGUCGGAAAUCGGUCGUAGAGUAUAAAGGCAAAAGCGCGCUUGACUGCGAGACAGACACGUCGAGCAGGUACGAAAGUAGGUCUUAGUGAUCCGGUGGUUCUGUAUGGAAGGGCCAUCGCUCAACGGAUAAAAGGUACUCCGGGGAUAACAGGCUGAUACCGCCCAAGAGUUCAUAUCGACGGCGGUGUUUGGCACCUCGAUGUCGGCUCAUCACAUCCUGGGGCUGAAGCCGGUCCCAAGGGUAUGGCUGUUCGCCAUUUAAAGUGGUACGCGAGCUGGGUUUAGAACGUCGUGAGACAGUUCGGUCCCUAUCUGCCGUGGACGUUUGAGAUUUGAGAGGGGCUGCUCCUAGUACGAGAGGACCGGAGUGGACGAACCUCUGGUGUUCCGGUUGUCACGCCAGUGGCAUUGCCGGGUAGCUAUGUUCGGAAGAGAUAACCGCUGAAAGCAUCUAAGCGGGAAACUUGCCUCAAGAUGAGAUCUCACUGGAGCCUUGAGCUCCCUGAAGGGCCGUCGAAGACUACGACGUUGAUAGGUUGGGUGUGUAAGCGCUGUGAGGCGUUGAGCUAACCAAUACUAAUUGCCCGUGAGGCUUGACCAU
rnacentral:rRNA from 1 species